rnacentral:rRNA from 1 species
GAUCCCUAGUACUGCGAGUGAAGCGGGAAAAGCUCAAAUUUAAAAUCCUUCGGGAGUUGUAAUCUAUAGAAGUGUUUUCGGUCGUUGCCUCGGACAAGUCUCUUGGAACAGAGCGUCAUAGAGGGUGAGAAUCCCGUCCUUGCCGAGCUCCCAACGUCUAUGUGAUACACUUUCAAAGAGUCGAGUUGUUUGGGAAUGCAGCUCAAAACGGGUGGUAAACUCCAUCUAAAGCUAAAUAUUGGCGAGAGACCGAUAGCGAACAAGUACCGUGAGGGAAAGAUGAAAAGCACUUUGGAAAGAGAGUUAAACAGUACGUGAAAUUGUUGAAAGGGAAGCGCUUGGAGUCAGUCGCGUUGCAAAGACUCAGCCUCACGGUGUAUUUCUUUGCAACGGGUCAACAUCAAUUUUGACCGCGGGAAAAGGGUUUGAGGAAUGUGGCAACUUCGGUUGUGUUAUAGCCUCUUGCCGUACACCGCGGUUGGGAUUGAGGUCUGCUUACAGGAUGUUGACGAAAUGGCUCUAAGCGACCCGUCUUGA